UGCAGCUAAGGGUGGCCAUGUUACACAGCUCUGGUCAAUGAGAGAGACACUGAAACCAGUGAGUGGGUGAAAAUGGAAAGAGUGAAAAGAACAAACUCGUGGCAUACAAAGAAAUAACCAGCUAGGGACUGGAUGACAUGGACCCUGGUGUCUUCACUCAGAAUUGAAAACGAACUGCUGAAGACACAUGGACACGGUCUACUCUGUGCAAGAUGCCGAGGAUGCAGUGAUGAGGAAGAAGGACACUGUCCCUGACUUCAUGGUGAUUACAGUCUAGGACCAGUUAUCCUCAACUAAAGUGUCCUAUCCAGACUUCCCUUGAGCCAACAGCUCUCCAAGAAGAUCUGAGAUUAUGGUCUCCAGAUCUAGGUCUGAGACCUACACCUCAUCUCAAGGCACUUGUUUGUGGUUCUUCAAUGGAGAGACAGCUCAGAAGAAUUCUUCAGGAAGCUAGGUACAAAGAUGAGCUCAUUCAGAUACUUUCCAUUUUCCUGGGUCAGAAUCUUAAUUGAAAAUGGCUCCCUAUACAGUGUUCAAAUUCUCAUAGCCAGAAACACAACUUCUGGUUGUUUUUUGUUUUCAUUUUACCUCAUAAAACCCUGAAUAUGUUCAACAAGGACCAAGUAGAAAAUAACAACCCAAGUCUAUCUCAUUUGUAUCAAAGAGAUUCUGAUAUCAGGGUCUAACCAACAUUAACUGAAGAGUAGUUUCCUUAGCAUUAGAAAACACAUCAAUCACAAUCACUUUCAAUACAUAUUCUCUAAAAACAGAAUUUUGAAGUUCAAAAAAUUACUUAGAAUGUAACAUAUUUAUUUGUUAAAUCAUGUUUCUUCUUUCAAACUUAACAUGAGAUAAAACUGUUAGUUAUCAGAUUUAAUCUUCAGCUAAAUAAGUAUCUCUCUAAGAGGGAGAAAAAGCAAGGGAAAUGAUAAGCAUGGAAGUGGGAUAGAGUUUCCCUCCUGAUGAGGAGGACGUCAGGAGGAUGAGAGGAGAAUGCAUAUGUCGUCAACAAAAUAGAUAAUGUUCUAGUUUGUAGAUUGGGGGGGGCGCUCACAGAUGUAUUAUUACCACGCUUUAUAAUGUAUCAAUAUGUUACAUAUAGCCUUCUAUAUGUAUCAGAUAUUACAUAAAAGAAGAAAAGCAUUCCAGUCUGAGUUAUAAACAAAGAAUGCAUAUUUUCCUUGGACAAGGUACCGUUAUAUAAAAAAACAAAAAAUUCAAAAACAUUGUUCUGGUUUUCUGCUUUAUUCCCAGCAGGAUAUUUUAAAAGGUUUUCCAGGAGUUCAAGUCACAUGUUAAUUAAUUUCAUCAGGUAAAACCCAUUGGAGGCUUCCUUUGGUCAAUUUAAUUCUACUAUCAGAUGCCAGUUGAAUAAAAGUGAGCCACCAUAUUCUUCACUGUAUUAAUUUCAAAUGUUUCAUGCAAUAUUCUGUAUUCUGAUGUUCGAAAGGG